GUUAAGUAGACCGCCUGAGGAGUACGGUCGCAAGAUUAAAACUCAAAUGAAUUGACGGGGGCCCGCACAAGCGGUGGAGCAUGUGGUUUAAUUCGAUGCAACGCGAAGAACCUUACCUACUCUUGACAUCCAGAGAAGCCAGCGGAGACGCAGGUGUGCCUUCGGGAGCUCUGAGACAGGUGCUGCAUGGCUGUCGUCAGCUCGUGUUGUGAAAUGUUGGGUUAAGUCCCGCAACGAGCGCAACCCUUAUCCUUGUUUGCCAGCGAGUAAUGUCGGGAACUCCAGGGAGACUGCCGGUGAUAAACCGGAGGAAGGUGGGGACGACGUCAAGUCAUCAUGGCCCUUACGAGUAGGGCUACACACGUGCUACAAUGGCGCAUACAGAGGGCAGCAAGCCAGCGAUGGUGAGCGAAUCCCAAAAAGUGCGUCGUAGUCCGGAUUGGAGUCUGCAACUCGACUCCAUGAAGUCGGAAUCGCUAGUAAUCGUAGAUCAGAAUGCUACGGUGAAUACGUUCCCGGGCCUUGUACACACCGCCCGUCACACCAUGGGAGUGGGCUGCAAAAGAAGUGGGUAGUUUAACCUUUCGGGGAGGACGCUCACCACU
rnacentral:rRNA from 1 species